UGGUUGUUUUAUCUUUUCCUAAAAAGAGGUAGGGUUAAGGGUUUGGUAUUUUUUUUUAAAAAAAUAGGGCCCUCGGGAAGCGUGCAAUAGAGAAAAAAAAGGAAACCCUUUUCCUUCUUCUUCUUCUCCCAGCCGCGCCACUGCCAUUUUCACCAUCGACCGAGUCCGCGUUCGCCAGCUUCCGUUCUUCUCUGUCUGCUUUCGUUCGUUCUGUGGUGAAGCUUGGCCACGCGAGGAGACCUGUUCGUCGAUCCAAAGCCUCCGUUGAUCGCGAACCGAAGCUAAACCCAGACCUGUCCUUCGACCCGAAGCCGCCGUCGAUCACAAACCGAAACUGUUUCCAAACCUGUCUGUUGACCCGAAGCCGCGUUCUUCUCCUCGGGCCACACUAUCUUUCCUGUCCGCCAGUUGCCGGCCUAAACCCAAGCGCCGUCCGUCAGUCUUGGCGCGACCGAUUCUGGUUGUCGUUGGAUCGCAGUUGUUUCGCCCGAUCAUUCUGUUCGGGGAUUCAGUAACUUGUGGUGGUUAAGGAAGUUUCCAAGCGAAGUGAAGGUUCGUUUUAGGACAAUUUGAUAUCCCUAGGUAAGGGUAACGAUAGACCGGCGCAUGACAAGAGAUCCGUGACCUAGCCAUUUGGACAAUUUACUGCUUCCGCACUUAGGCUUCAUGUACUAGAGUCUAGUUUAGGAGUUAGGCAUUUUAGAAUCUUAUGAAAUAUUCAUUGAUUUUAUUUAUUAAUUUAUUUAAUUGUUAUUUAUUUUAAAGUUGGGUUAGGGGUACCCUGAACGGUCUUUUUUUUUAGGUUUUCUCAUCUUUGCUUAU